CCUGGUCCCUCAGAAGGUAAAGAAUCUGCCUGCAAUGCAGGCGACCUGGGUUCAAUCCCAGGGUCGGGA
rnacentral:tRNA from 1 species